rnacentral:lncRNA from 1 species
CUUUGAAGCUUGUUUUUUGUGUUUUUCCUCUUGAUUUCAUAUAUCCUCUUGAUUUUUAAGAAUAAAAAACAAAAAUUUUCUUCAACCAAAAAGUAACCCAAUUAGUUCACUACAUAAAAACUACAAAUAUAUUGAAAAAUACUAUAAAACAUUGGUACAUUAUGUUGACCUAAGACCACUGCAUCCCAGCUGGACAUAUCUUAAUUAAAAUUAUGGUUCUUAAAGUAGCAGAUUGGAAUAAAGUUCUAUUUUUUAAGUUUCCCUUGCAUAAGGGACAAAACCAAAUUGGAAACCUAGAGUAGCAGUUGUAGGAAAUAGGUAUCUAAAUUUUAUAUAAGCAUUAACUCACAUAAACGAUAUUGUCUAUGAACAGUGUGUUGGGCUCUGUUGCAGUAGGACAGUUGAUAGGAUUUGCAGCAUGGAAAUACUUCAGCUUUCCAACCAGAGGAACUGGGAUUGAAUUAGGAUGUCACAACACUGGAAAAUUUGAGCACCUAGGCCAUCUAUAUCCUUCCUUUACUGCAGGGGUUCUUAACCAGGAGUCCAUGAACUUGAAUGAGAAAAAAUCAACUCAUUAUCUUUAUUUUCACUGACCACUAAUUAAAUCUAGCAUUUUCUUCUCUUAUAAAUGUAUGUAAUAAAUUAUAG